rnacentral:rRNA from 1 species
GAGCGGCGAACGGGUGAGUAAUGCAUCGGAACGUGUCCGGAAGUGGGGGAUAACGCCGCGAAAGCGGCGCUAAUACCGCAUAUUCUUAUGGAGGAAAGCGGGGGACCUGCAAGGGCCUCGUGCUUUUGGAGCGGCCGAUGUCCGAUUAGCUGGUUGGUGGGGUAACGGCCUACCAAGGCGACGAUCGGUAGCUGGUCUGAGAGGAUGAUCAGCCACACUGGGACUGAGACACGGCCCAGACUCCUACGGGAGGCAGCAGUGGGGAAUUUUGGACAAUGGGGGCAACCCUGAUCCAGCCAUGCCGCGUGCGGGAAGAAGGCCUUCGGGUUGUAAACCGCUUUUGGCCGGGACGAAAGCGCCACGGAUAACACCUGUGGUGGUUGACGGUACCGGCAGAAUCAGCACCGGCUAACUACGUGCCAGCAGCCGCGGUAAUACGUAGGGUGCGAGCGUUAAUCGGAAUUACUGGGCGUAAAGCGUGCGUAGGCGGUUCGUUGUGUCUGUGGUGAAAGCCCCGGGCUUAACCUGGGAAUGGCCAUGGAAACUGGCGGGCUGGAGUGUGGCAGAGGGGGGUGGAAUUCCGCGUGUAGCAGUGAAAUGCGUAGAGAUGCGGAGGAACACCGAUGGCGAAGGCAGCCCCCUGGGCUGACAC